UGAACUGAGUAUGAACACAACAACUAAGC
rnacentral:sRNA from 1 species